rnacentral:lncRNA from 1 species
UUCGGACUUGGCGGCUGCUUGCUGUGCGUCUGAGCCCAGUGCUCAGCGCGCAUCGUGCCAGACUCUGCAGAAAAGGACAAGCCAUAAUUCAACCUACACCGGAGAAUGCUUACAAAGUUAGAAAAUGGGAUUGAUGAAGAAAGAACCCAAGAAAAGACACAAAUAAGGAAAAGUGAGUGAGUAUUUUCUCCUCGUGUUUUCUCAUGGGCUUCACAUGAUCAGUCUACAGCGGCAAUCAACGUGGAGUGUUCCAUUCAUUGCUAAGAUGUCAGUUGGCAGCAGGUGGACGGACAGAAGUUGUUGGGAACUUCGUCUUCACGGGUCGCCCAUAUGAUACCAGCUUUGCUGAUUCUGGCAAACUCCACACCAGGCUUGCAAAGUCUCCACCUGCUUACGGAAGCACAAAUGGACCUGCUGAGCUCUCAGACCACGGAAACCUGCUCCUUCUCACCCUGUGCCAGCAGAUUUAGCACCGCCUCCGACAGUCGGUCCACAGCCUGGAGCACAAGGAAGAUUUUGGAACUUUCGGAGGUCCCCUCGCGUAUGGGCCCAGCGUUGUCUUGUGCUGCAGAGAUCUUGUGCUGAGAUUGUUUCAACUCAGUACGGAAGGACUCUGCCCGUGACGGUUCUGAUAAACAAUUGCUGAUCUGUGACUCAUCAAAACUACAUCUCAGUGGACAAAUCAGGCUUGCUGAAGAAUUCCAGGGGCUGACCACAGGGAAGUGGCUGGAGUUACAAGACCUGACCAGGAGCUGCGACCACCAGCUGCCAACAGUCGAGCCUUAGAUCAGAGGGACCACCCGUUGACCCGGGAAACGUGCUAG